rnacentral:rRNA from 1 species
UACGUAGGGUGCGAGCGUUAAUCGGAAUUACUGGGCGUAAAGGGUGCGCAGGCGGUUAUAUAAGACAGAUGUGAAAUCCCCGGGCUCAACCUGGGAACUGCGUUUGUGACUGUAUGACUAGAGUACGGUAGAGAGGGGUGGAAUUCCUGGUGUAGCAGUGAAAUGCGUAGAUAUCUGGAGGAACACCGGUGGCGAAGGCGGCAUCCUGGACCGGUAUUGACGCUGAGGCGCGAAAGCCAGGGGAGCAAAGCGGGG